AAGCCAUGUGUGGGCGUCUUUCUCAAUAAGCCUUUAAAUCGAUCCCACGCUUGACAUAAUGUUUCAUCCAUGCCCUGGUUGAAAGAAGAAAUUUCUUGUUUAGUUU